UUGGGGUGACAUUUUUUUAAAACAAAGAACUAUUUUAACUCAUUAAGAGACUUAACCUAUCUUUUAAAAAAAAGAAAAAGGUACUCUAGGGAUAACAGCAUAAUCUUCUUUUAGAGCCCUAAUCGACAAGAAAGAUUUUGACCUCGAUGUUGAAUUGAUAUUCCUUCUUAAAGCAGAAUUUUCUAAAGGGGGUCUGUUCGACCUUUAACUUAUCACGUGAUCUGAGUUCAAACCGG
rnacentral:rRNA from 1 species